rnacentral:rRNA from 1 species
GAGCGAAGCACAUGAAUACGAUUCUCCGGAUGAGGAUUCUUGUGACUGAGCGGCGGACGGGUGAGUAACGCGUGGGCAACCUGCCUUACACAGGGGGAUAACAGUUAGAAAUGACUGCUAAUACCGCAUAAGACCACAAAACCGCAUGGUUUGGUGGUAAAAACUCCGGUGGUGUAAGAUGGGCCCGCGUCUGAUUAGGUAGUUGGUGGGGUAACGGCCUACCAAGCCGACGAUCAGUAGCCGACCUGAGAGGGUGACCGGCCACAUUGGGACUGAGACACGGCCCAGACUCCUACGGGAGGCAGCAGUGGGGAAUAUUGCACAAUGGGGGAAACCCUGAUGCAGCGACGCCGCGUGAGCGAUGAAGUAUUUCGGUAUGUAAAGCUCUAUCAGCAGGGAAGAAAAUGACGGUACCUGACUAAGAAGCCCCGGCUAACUACGUGCCAGCAGCCGCGGUAAUACGUAGGGGGCAAGCGUUAUCCGGAUUUACUGGGUGUAAAGGGAGCGUAGACGGCUUGGCAAGCCAGAUGUGAAAGGCUGGGGCUCAACCCCAGGACUGCAUUUGGAACUGUCAUGCUAGAGUGUCGGAGAGGCAGGCGGAAUUC